CAGUCCUGUGCAGGAUGAGCCAUUCUCACAAGAGCCCUAGGAAGCGUGUUGCUGAAGCUGAUGCCACAAGGAAAAGUAGUGUGCAUAAGGACAGAGAGCUGGCAGGUGGGGAACUGUGGAUCCUGAGCAGGUACAUUCCCGCAUCCCAGAGGCUGACCUGCACAGACUCACCACCAGGCACCCUCUCCACCCGUCUCCCUCCCCUGCUUCCUGCCGGGUUCAGCCACUUGGUGGCAAAGCAGGAGACAUGAAGGUGGAAGACGAGAGAGGUCAUCUCUGGGCGUCUCCUGGUCCACAGUUCCACCCCUCGCCAGGCUUUUGGACUAGUAUCUUUCCACUCAGGUUUAACGGGUUGGUGAUGGUGGCUCACUUUUGCUAGCCUUUGUGUACUUCACCACCCCUUGUUGGCACGGUCGUCCUGCGCACACACUGGGCAAUAGUCCUUUCACUAAAUUCUCUUGAGUAAAACCCUUUGCAGUGUGUCAUUGCCUCUUUUUGCUAUGACCAACAGCUCCUAAACUAUUUCGAAAGCAAGAGAGCACAACUAUCGAUAAUAAUAAAGCCCUUCAAAAACUUUCAUAUGAAGAUGCUCAUUGCAGCAUCAUAUUCAAUAGCAAAUAAAUUACAAACAACUUGUGUAACCAUAAAGAAGAUGAUUAAUAAAUGAUGUUACAUCAACAUGACAAAAUAUUACUCCUCUCUACAGUGAGACUUAUGAAGACCGAAGAAAACAUGGAAAUAGAAAUAAAGUGUUUGAGGUGGUAUGUAUAUACUCUAGAAUUGCAACUAUGUAAAAGUAGGACAGUCUCUGGAUAAGAACUAAAAGGUAAUAUGCAAAUAUGAAGAUAAUGUUGUUAGGAUAGUGGAAUCUACUGAUUAUUUUUUAAUUUUGGAAG